rnacentral:rRNA from 1 species
UACGUAGGGGGCUAGCGUUGUCCGGAAUCAUUGGGCGUAAAGCGCGCGUAGGCGGCCCGGUAAGUCCGCUGUGAAAGUCAAAGGCUCAACCUUUGAAUGUCAGCGGAUACUGCCGGGCUAGAGUCCGGAAGAGGCGAGUGGAACUCCUGGUGUAGCGGUGGAAUGCGCAGAUAUCAGGAAGAACACCAAUUGCGAAGGCAGCUCGCUGGGACGUUACUGACGCUGAGACGCGAAAGCGUGGGGAGCAAACAGG